rnacentral:rRNA from 1 species
GACGAACGCUGGCGGCGUGCUUAACACAUGCAAGUCGAACGGAAAGGCCUGCUUUCCCUUGUGGAUUGCGGGUACUCGAGUGACGAACGGGUGAGUAACACGUGAGUGAUCUGCCCCCAACUUGGGUAUAAGCCUGGGAAACUGGGUCUAAUUCCCGAUAGGACUGCAGGGUGGUGCCUGUGGUGGAAAACGAUUUUCUAGUGGUUGGGGAUGAGCUCGCGGCCUAUCAGCUUGUUGGUGGGGUAAUGGCCUACCAAGGCGGCGACGGGUAGCCGGCCUGAGAGGGUGGACGGCCACAUUGUGACUGAGAUACGGCCCAGACUCCUACGGGAGGCAGCAGUGGGGAAUAUUGCACAAUGGGCGGAAGCCUGAUGCAGCGACGCCGCGUGGGGGAUGACGGCCUUCGGGUUGUAAACUCCUUUCGACCGCGAGGAAGCCACCUGGUUGGAAGGGUGGUGACGGUAGUGGUAGAAGAAGCACCGGCUAACUACGUG